AAAAAAGUAAACCGCGGGUUUGCGUGCCAACGGUUGACUGUCCGUCUUAUAUGAAAAUUUUUUAUAAUUAGUAUUUUUAUUGUUGUUAGAUGAUAAAACAUGAUUAAUACUUUAUGCGUGACUUAUCAUUUUAAUUUUUUUCAUAUUUUUUUUCAAAUAAGACGGACGGUCAAACGUUAGACACGGAACCAGGGUUUGUCUUUUU
rfam:Oryza sativa Japonica Group DNA, chromosome 1, cultivar: Nipponbare, complete sequence.